rnacentral:rRNA from 1 species
GCCACUGCUAUUGGGAUCCGACUAAGCCAUGCGAGUCGAGAGGGUUCGGCCCUCGGCAUACCGCUCAGUAACACGUGGAUAAUCUACCCUUAGGCGGAGGAUAACCUCGGGAAACUGAGGACAAUACUCCAUAGAUCUAGGAUGCUGGAAUGCAUCUAGGUUGAAAACUCCGGUGCCCUAGGAUGAGUCUGCGGACUAUCAGGUAGUAGUCAGGGUAAAGACCUGACUAGCCUACGACGGAUACGGGUUGUGAGAGCAAUAGCCCGGAGACGAUAUCUGAGACACGAUAUCGGGCCCUACGGGGCGCAGCAGGCGCGAAACCUUCACAAUGUGCGAAAGCACGAUGAGGGGAUCCCAAGUGCUGGCUCGUAAGAGUCAGCUGUUUCUAUGUCUAAAAAACAGAGAAAGUAAGAGCUGGGUAAGACGGGUGCCAGCCGCCGCGGUAAUACCUGCAGCUCAAGUGGUGGUCACUAUUAUUGGGCCUAAAACGUCCGUAGCCGGCUUAGUAAAUGCCUGGGUAAAUUGUGUAGCUUAACUAUACGAAUACCGAGUAGACUGCUAAACUUGGGACCGGGAGAGGUUAGAGGUACUCCUAGGGUAGAGGUGAAAUUCUGUAAUCCUAGGGGGACCACCAGUGGCGAAGGCGUCUAACCAGAACGGGUCCGACGGUGAGGGACGAAGCCCUGGGGCGCAAACCGGAUUAGAUACCCGGGUAGUCCAGGGUGUAAACGCUGCUCGCUUGAUGUUAGUCGAGCUCCGAGCUCAACUAGUGUCGGAGAGAAGUUGUUAAGCGAGCUGCCUGGGAAUUACGGUCGCAAGACUGAAACUUAA